CUGCGGCUUUGGUUGUGGAACUGGCUUCUGAAGCGGAAACUGCGGCUUUGGUUGUGGAACUGGCUUCUGAAGCGGAAACUGCGGCUUAGGUUGUUGUGGAACUGGCUUCUGAAGCGGAAACUGCGGCUUAGGUUGUUGUGGAACUGGCUUCUGAAGCGGAAACUGCGGCUUAGGUUGUUGUGGAACUGGCUUCUGAAAUGGAAAUUGCGGCUUAGGUUGUUGUGGAACUGGCUUCUGAAAUGGAAACUGCUGGUUAGUUAGCUGUUGAACUGGCUUCUGGAGCUGAAACUGCUGGUCAGUUUGCUGGAUCAUCAGAGCUUGAGUAUCCUGAAGCGAUUGACUCCACUGUGGGACAGCAUGACAGAAAGCACAGCCCACCAAAAUCUGAGCCAAACACCAAAUUCCAGCCAUUGUUUAACAGCUAAACACAAA